rnacentral:rRNA from 1 species
GUCUUCGAGUCGUUGAUUUCACACUGCCGAGAAAAGCCUCUAGAUAGAAAAUAGGUGCCCGUACCGCAAACCGACACAGGUAGUCAAGAUGAGAAUUCUAAGGUGAGCGAGCGAACUCUCGUUAAGGAACUCGGCAAAAUGACCCCGUAACUUCGGGAGAAGGGGUGCUCUUUAGGGUUAACGCCCAGAAGAGCCGCAGUGAAUAGGCCCAAGCGACUGUUUAUCAAAAACACAGGUCUCUGCUAAACCGUAAGGUGAUGUAUAGGGGCUGACGCCUGCCCGGUGCUGGAAGGUUAAGAGGAGUGGUUAGCUUCUGCGAAGCUACGAAUCGAAGCCCCAGUAAACGGCGGCCGUAACUAUAACGGUCCUAAGGUAGCGAAAUUCCUUGUCGGGUAAGUUCCGACCCGCACGAAAGGCGUAACGAUUUGGGCACUGUCUCAACGAGAGACUCGGUGAAAUCAUAGUACCUGUGAAGAUGCAGGUUACCCGCGACAGGACGGAAAGACCCCGUGGAGCUUUACUGUAGCCUGAUAUUGAAAUUCGGCACAGCUUGUACAGGAUAGGUAGGAGCCUUUGAAACGUGAGCGCUAGCUUACGUGGAGGCGCUGGUGGGAUACUACCCUAGCUGUGUUGGCUUUCUAACCCGC